GAUUUACCACAGUUGGACAGCCCAGGUUCCACUGAUGGGGUUUAACACCAUUAGAUUUACCAUAGUUGGACAGCCCAGGUUCCACUGAUGGGGUUCCACUGAUGGGGUUUAACACCAUUAGAUUUACCACAGUUGGACAGCCCAGGUUCCACUGAUGGGGUUUAACACCAUUAGAUUUACCACAGUUGGACAGCCCAGGUUCCACUGAUGGGGUUUAACACCAUUAGAUUUACCACAGUUGGACAGCCCAGGUUCCACUGAUGGGGUUUAACACCAUUAGAUUUACCACAGUUGGACAGCCCAGGUUCCACUGAUGGGGUUUAACACCAUUAGAUUUACCAUAGUUGGACAGCCCAGGUUCCACUGAUGGGGUUUAACACCAUUAGAUUUACCAUAGUUGGACAGCCCAGGUUCCACUGA